GCGUUGUUAGUUUAAGGGUAGAAUAUUAGCCUUCCAAGCUGAUGGCCGGGGUUCGAGUCCCCGACAACGCA